rnacentral:rRNA from 1 species
AUUGAACGCUGGCGGCAGGCCUAACACAUGCAAGUCGAGCGGAUGAAGGGAGCUUGCUCCUGGAUUCAGCGGCGGACGGGUGAGUAAUGCCUAGGAAUCUGCCUGGUCGUGGGGGAUAACGUCCGGAAACGGGCGCUAAUACCGCAUACGUCCUGAGGGUGAAAGUGGGGGAUCUUCGGACCUCACGCUAUUAGCUGAGCCUAGGUCGGAUUAGCUAGUUGGUGGGGUAAAGGCCUACCAAGGCGACGAUCCGUAACUGGGCUGAGAGGAUGAUCAGUCACACUGGAACUGAGACACGGUCCAGACUCCUACGGGAGGCAGCAGUGGGGAAUAUUGGACAAUGGGCGAAAGCCUGAUCCAGCCAUGCCGCGUGUGUGAAGAAGGUCUUCGGAUUGUAAAGCACUGUUAGUUGGGAGGAAGGGCAGUAAGUUAAUACCUUGCUGUUUUGACGUUACCAACAGAAUAAGCACCGGCUAACUUCGUG